rnacentral:rRNA from 1 species
UUGAGCGGAGAUAUAUGGAGCUUGCUUUAUAUAACUUAGCAGCGAACGGGUGAGUAACACGUAGAUAAUCUAUCCUAUACUGGGGGAUAGCCCGAUGAAAGUUGGAUUAAUACCGCAUAUAGCUAUAUAGUUGCAUGAUUAUGUAGUGAAAGAUUUAUUGGUAUAGGAGGAGUCUGCGGCACAUUAGCUAGUAGGUGAGGUAAAGGCUUACCUAGGCGACGAUGUGUAGCCGGUCUGAGAGGAUGAACGGCCACAAUGGAACUGAGACACGGUCCAUACUCCUACGGGAGGCAGCAGUGGGGAAUAUUGCACAAUGGGGGAAACCCUGAUGCAGCAACGCCGCGUGAGUGAAGAAGGUUUUCGGAUUGUAAAGCUCUGUUAGCAGGGAAGAGGAAGGACGGUACCUGCAGAGGAAGCCACGGCUAACUACGUGCCAGCAGCCGCGGUAAUACGUAGGUGGCAAGCGUUGUUCGGAAUAACUGGGCGUAAAGGAUGCGUAGGCGGUUAAACAAGUUAUAUGUUAAAUAUAUAGGCUUAACCUGUAGAAAGCAUAUAAAACUGUUUAACUAGAGUGCAGGAGAGGUAAGUGGAAUUCCUAGUGUAGCGGUGAAAUGCGUAGAGAUUAGGAAGAACACCAGUGGCGAAGGCGACUUACUGGACUGUAACUGACGCUGAGGCAUGAGAGCAUGGGGAGCAAACAGGAUUAGAUACCCUGGUAGUCCAUGCUGUAAACGAUGGGUACUAGGUGUGGGUUGUGAAUAACAAUUCGUGCCGUCGCAAACG